rnacentral:rRNA from 3 species
UUUUACGAUCCCAGGCUGGUUACAAGAAAAUAUUAGCU